rnacentral:lncRNA from 10 species
UAUUCUCUGCCUGGCUGCUUGAGCUGGAACAUCCAUCUUCUCUGGGUGUUCCUGGCUCUCAGGCCUUCAGACUUGGACUGGAAUCUACACUAUUGGUUCUCUGGCUCUAGGCCUUUGAACUUGACCAUUGACUUCCCUGGGUCUCCAACUUGCAGACAGAAGAUUGUGGGAAUUCUCGGCUUCAGCCUCAGGAGAUCCUGAGAACAUGGUUGGGCUACAGCUUCAUUUUAUACAUUUUAGGGGACAACUAGAACUUGGGGCUUCCAGAUUCAAAGAUUUUCUGAUUGGCAAUUGGCUAAGAGUCUAUCUAAAGCCCUGGAAUCAAUGGAAGGGAGUGUCUGGUUAAGAUAAGGAAUUGUGGAGACCAAGGUUCUUAUUAUGCAGAUGAAGCCUCCAGGUAGCGGGCUUCAGAGAAAGUAGAUUGUAAAUGUUUCUUAGACUUAAAGAGACAGCUUUUCAGGGCCAUUUUAAAAUAUGUCAAAGCAAUAUAUUUUUGGGAAAAAUAAUUUUAUGUAUUUCAGGUCCUACUAUCAUGUUGGUGUCUUAUUGCUACAAAGAAUCUGUUUUGUCAGUCUUAAGAUCUCUGUU